GGGUGAGAGAUAGGAUGCAUACAUGCUAUCUGACGGAGAGGACAAGGAGCUGCGGAGAACAGGGACCCAGCGGAACAAGGAUGGGAGGCUCGCCACACACAGAAAGCACUCGUCAAGGAUAAAGAGGCACUCCUUCAUUUUUUGGUUGAGAAAGAAUGUGCUGGAAAUGCAUAAUUAAUUAGUUACGGGCUGUUUCAUGUCCCACAAGAGGCCCCGAAUGAUCUUACUACAAUCCCAUCAGCCCUAGAAUAUUUUAAGACUCAUCUCGAGGGUCAUCGAUCUGUUAAUCGGCUUCAGCCGCUUAAGCAGAACCAGGCUCCGUUUCUCCGUUUCAAUGAUAUUUCAUUAAACGACCCAUAGUUAGAAACUUCUCCGCUGUAGGCGCAGGCUGUCAAGGUUAGGCAAGGCAGACAAAACAAAACACUGUCAAUAAACAGUUAGUUUGUAGUGAGGGUUACAGCUGGGUGGCAGCUGUAGAAAGGGCCGGAGAUAAUGAGGCUGAGUCACGAUGGAAAAGUAAACAACUCCUGACUGACAAGGAAACGGCGCUUUGUAGCUCCGACAGGCCGCUCCGCUUCGAGUCUGGUCCGAGUUCUGGCCAACUGUCUCCAGACCUGUGCGCAGAAGACAAAGGAACAGGCCAUCCUGGAGAAAACAAGGAUCUCAAUGUAGGUCGAGUGAAGAAGAAGCAAAAAAAAAAAAGAAAGAUUAUGGUGCAGGCAAAGGGAAAGCUAGUCAAAUAUCUGAUCAGCCGUCUUUGACACUAAAUCGUACAAUUUCUGCACAUCUAACGGAGUCUAUUUUUGUUUCCCGCAGCUAAAUUUAGAAAGCAGAAGUAGCCAAAACUUUGAUUACCGACAAAAAGCUUUACUCGCAGGCAAAGAAGACAGGAUUUCUUAUCGGAAUCAGAAAUGUUGUGGUCGUUCCGUCACACAGAUCUUGGGGUAUCCAGGUGAGCUAACACACGGGGCUAUAAUACUCAAGUUGUGCAAGUUCAACACAACAAGUUCAUAAUUGUGACG